rnacentral:rRNA from 1 species
CGGCGAGUGAAGCGGUAAGAGCUCAAAUUUGAAAGCUGGCUCCUUCGGGGUCCGCAUUGUAAUUUGCAGAGGAUGCUUCGGGAGCAGCCCCCAUCUAAGUGCCCUGGAACGGGCCGUCAUAGAGGGUGAGAAUCCCGUAUGGGAUGGGGUGUCUGCGCCCGUGUGAAGCUCCUUCGACGAGUCGAGUUGUUUGGGAAUGCAGCUCUAAAUGGGUGGUAAAUUUCAUCUAAAGCUAAAUAUUGGCCGGAGACCGAUAGCGCACAAGUAGAGUGAUCGAAAGAUGAAAAGCACUUUGAAAAGAGAGUUAAAAAGCACGUGAAAUUGUUGAAAGGGAAGCGCUUGCGAUCAGACUCGCCUCGGGGGUUCAACCGGCAUUCGUGCCGGUGUACUUCCCCCGGGGCGGGCCAGCGUCGGUUUGGGCGGCCGGUCAAAGGCCCUCGGAAUGUAACGCCUCUCGGGGCGUCUUAUAGCCGAGGGUGCCAUGCGGCCUGCCCGGACCG